UGAAGGGGAAAUGUUUUGGUUCAUACAUGGAUUUUUAUAUGCAUCUGUGUUGCAUGAAACAUCCCUCAAAGUUUUUCUGUCUACAGGAGCUCGAACACGUGUAGUUGGUAAAGGUACAUUGUCAAAAGUACUCUGUGGGGGACAGUGAAACUCUUCUAUACCAUUCUCUUCAAAUGAUUCGUGGCGACUUUGUGCAUGUUUUGAUAAUUGCCGAGAGACAGUUUCAGAUUAUUAAUAUGCUGACAAUCCAAUUUAUUGAAGGUGACAUUCCAUUUUAUGUAUUUCACGUAUGUACCAAGCUAAAAUCGUUU